GGAGGACGAAGAGGCUGCACGCACAGCCGCUGCCGGGGGUCGGGGCCAAGUGCGCGCCUCGCCGAGGACGAAGAGGCUGGCGUGCCCGGUGGCUCGGCUAGCUCCCGGGUCCCGGCCCCGCCUGGAGGAUGGAGUUCCUCUCUUGUGGCCCAGGCUGGAGUGCAAUAGCACCAUCUCGGCUCACUGCAACCUCUGCCUCCCAGGUUCAAGUGAUUCUCCUGCCUUAGCCUCCUGAGUAGCUAGGAUUACAGAUUUAUAGGAGCAUUGUGACUGGACCAAGGACAAAGAAGUUCCCAACCUCCUCAGACCCUCGCUGCUGCCCAGAUGUCUGCCAUGGGGUGGCCAUCAUCGAAUCCACUGAGGGCGCAAAUAGAACAAAAAGGUGAAGAAAAGGUGAAUUCUCUCCUUUCUUGAGCUGGGACAUCCAACUUCUCAGACAUCAGAGCUCCUGGAGGCCUUCAGACUCCGAGACAUUACACCAUUGGCUCACCUGGUCCUCAGGUCUUUGGACUUGGAAUGAAUUACACCAUUGGCUUUCCAGGUCUUCCAGCUUGCAGAUGGCAGAUUGUGGGACUUUUCAGCCUCCAUAACUUUGUCAUCCAAUUCCCAUAAUAAAUCGCCUCUUAUAUCUGUAUCUGUUUGGUUCUGU
rnacentral:lncRNA from 1 species